CGGGGUAUAGCUCAGCCUGGCAGAGCGCGGCGUUUGGGACGCCGAUGUCGCACGUUCGAAUCGUGCUUCCCCGA
rnacentral:tRNA from 2 species